CUCUCCUUAUUCUGAGGUAUCCCCACUGUCUGCAUGGCACCCUUAGAUAACGAUGCUUCUUUCUUUUCGUGAAUUGGAUUGGCCCAUGCUAAUGACUUAUUGGAUACUCUUCUUCACAAUUCCCUCAAGCAUUCCAUCAUUCCCAAAACGGCCUGAAAACUGUUGGUCAUCAACUGGACCAGGUAGCUGAAAUUUAAUGGAGAAGUGCCCUGGUUGGGGCAGAUUUUGUGUUUGCAUCCUAAAGAUUUGGGAGUUCUUGCACACUAUUUUUUCACCAGUGGCUGUCACGCCCUUAUCAUUAUUGUUCCAUCAGGUUCCCUGUCACAACUAAAUUCCUCUGCUUUCACAAAGCCAAAUAACAGAUUAGCCACAGCAAGAUUGAUGAUAGAAAAGGGUAGAUGAAACUCAUUGCUCAUACUGAAUACAAAAACAAAAUCUUUCAUAGCCUAAGAAGUUCAAUGUCAACAGCUCGAGGGAAGAAAAUGCACAAACAAUGGUUUAACAAGCUAAAACCUAGAUAAUGUCACCAAUUGAGAGAAAUUAGUACAAAACUGUACCAAUGGCAUUUCUCAACAUGCAAGGCAAUUGUGGAUAUGGCAAAGGAUUAAAUUUUAACGUGCCAUUGAAACUUACUUUCAUCUCUUGCUAACCCAGGUAGGGAGACACGAAACAAGUAGGCGUCAUCACAUUCCCCAAUGUCCAUUAAUCCCACAAUUGGUCCCACAAUUGGUCCCACCAGUCCCAUAGCUGUAGUCCCAGUCAGCACAACUGCACUUUUCGCAGAGACCACUAUGUUAUCCCAUUCCUUUUUAGUUGUGUUAGAUGGGAGAAAGACCAUACAUGGGCCAACCUUUUCAGCAGGGUGGGCAUCACUUUGACACUUUCAGUUCGCAAUGAGUCAUAAUCACCAACUUGUGCAGGUGAACUGAUGUAAGGCACAGUGUUGAGAGGUUGAACCUCGAGUGCUUGUUGGUGGGGAUUCUGGAAUUCAUUAUUUCCUCCAUGCAUGCCAAAAGACCUGAUCGGGGGAGGCAUGGUGGUGUUUCCGACGAACGUCGGGCGAUGAAUUGAAGUGUCGGCGACCUAUUUCGGCUCCCCAACCCCAACACCUGACUGCGUCUCUUUCACAGGCAACUGAGACAAGGUCUUGGGUGUAAAUGAUCUGCUGUUUUGUG
rnacentral:misc_RNA from 1 species